rnacentral:rRNA from 1 species
CAAUAGCGUAUAUUAAAGUUGUUGCGGUAAAAAAGCUCGUAGUUGGAUUUCUACCGAAGAUAGCCGGUCGGGUCUUCGACCUUGUAUCUGGUUUUGUCUUUGGUAUCCUCAUGGGGAACGUUGCUGCGCUUUAUUGCGUGGUGCGGUAUCCAUGACUUUUACUUUGAGGAAAUUAGAGUGUUCACGGCAGGCAAACGCCCUGAAUAUAUUAGCAUGGAAUAAUAACAUAGGAUCUUCGUCCUAUUUUGUUGGUUUCUAGGGCUAAGAUAAUGAUUAAUAGGGAUAAUUGGGGGCAUCUGUAUCAACGCGUCAGAGGUGGAAUUCUUGGAUUGCGUUGCGACAAACUACUGCGAAAGCAUUUGCCAAGGAUGUUUUCAUUGA